AUUGAACGCUGGCGGCAUGCCUUACACAUGCAAGUCGAACGGUAACAGGCCGCAAGGUGCUGACGAGUGGCGAACGGGUGAGUAAUGCAUCGGAACGUGCCCAGUCGUGGGGGAUAACUGCUCGAAAGAGCAGCUAAUACCGCAUACGACCUGAGGGUGAAAGCGGGGGACCGUAAGGCCUCGCGCGAUUGGAGCGGCCGAUGUCAGAUUAGCUAGUUGGUGGGGUAAAGGCCUACCAAGGCAACGAUCUGUAGUUGGUCUGAGAGGACGACCAGCCACACUGGGACUGAGACACGGCCCAGACUCCUACGGGAGGCAGCAGUGGGGAAUUUUGGACAAUGGGCGCAAGCCUGAUCCAGCAAUGCCGCGUGCAGGAAGAAGGCGUUAUGCGUUGUAAACUGCUUUUAUACAGGAAGAAACGACUCUUGCGAGAGGCAUUGACGGUACUGUAUGAAUAAGCACCGGCUAACUCCGUGCCAGCCGCCGCGGUAACAC
rnacentral:rRNA from 1 species